AGUGAACGCUGGCGGUAGGCCUAACACAUGCAAGUCGAACGGCAGCACAGUAAGAGCUUGCUCUUACGGGUGGCGGGUGGCGGACGGGUGAGGAAUACAUCGGAAUCUACUUUUUCGUGGGGGAUAACGUAGGGAAACUUACGCUAAUACCGCAUACGACCUACGGGUGAAAGCAGGGGAUCUUCGGACCUUGCGCGAUUGAAUGAGCCGAUGUCGGAUUAGCUAGAUGGCGGGGUAAAGGCCCACCAAGGCGACGAUCCGUAGCUGGUCUGAGAGGAUGAUCAGCCACACUGGAACUGAGACACGGUCCAGACUCCUACGGGAGGCAGCAGUGGGGAAUAUUGGACAAUGGGCGCAAGCCUGAUCCAGCCAUACCGCGUGGGUGAAGAAGGCCUUCGGGUUGUAAAGCCCUUUUGUUGGGAAAGAAAAGCAGCAGGUUAAUACCCCGCUGUUCUGACGGUACCCAAAGAAUAAGCACCGGCUAACUUCGUG
rnacentral:rRNA from 1 species